AACGAACGCUGGCGGCAUGCCUAACACAUGCAAGUCGAACGAAGUCUUCGGACUUAGUGGCGGACGGGUGAGUAACACGUGGGAACGUACCUUUUGGUUCGGAACAACUCAGGGAAACUUGAGCUAAUACCGGAUGAGCCCUUAGGGGGAAAGAUUUAUCGCCGAAAGAGCGGCCCGCGUUAGAUUAGCUAGUUGGGGAGGUAAAGGCUCACCAAGGCUACGAUCUAUAGCUGGUCUGAGAGGAUGAUCAGCCACACUGGGACUGAGACACGGCCCAGACUCCUACGGGAGGCAGCAGUGGGGAAUCUUGCGCAAUGGGCGAAAGCCUGACGCAGCCAUGCCGCGUGAAUGAUGAAGGUCUUAGGAUUGUAAAAUUCUUUUACCAGGGACGAUAAUGACGGUACCUGGAGAAAAAGCCCCGGCUAACUUCGUGCCAGCCGCCGCAGUAAUAC
rnacentral:rRNA from 1 species